CAGAAAUGUGGGCUGGAAGGCUCCAAGCAAAUCUGCAGCAACUCUGCAAGUGAGAGCAACCAGCAGUGGGGAUGCAGAGACAUGGAGCACACAGCCUGGGUGUCCAGCCUGUCACAUGGGUGCCACAAAUGACAUGCAGCAGACUGGUGAGGAGACCGGCAGCACAGUGGCAUAUAGAACAAGGAGCAGAAAGAAGAGCAGCAGGUCAGGAAGGGAGCACACAGCAAGCAGCAGAAACCUGAGUAACAGAUGAGAAAACCAGGAUUCCUGGUCAUCACCAACAGGGAAGCCCAUGUACAGCUGCCAGCCUCACCAGCACCAGAUAUGUGGAAUGGCAGAAAAGCAAAGUGGGUGGUUACCCCAGGACCAGGGCAGCCAGUGGAGACCCGAUGAGGAGGCCACUCUGUUACAGUGUGCAUGGAGGACCAAAGCUGAUGUAGGAGUACAAGGCCUCUAAGAGAUGGCUUUAAUCUACCCAUAGAGUGCAUGGAUUCACCAGGACUGGACAUGGUGAAUGGAGAGGAAAUCCGCAUUUGCUAAGGAAUUGUAGGGGCACCAUGUAUUUUCACAACUUCAUCUAGAAAACUUUCUCUGUCUCUGUUUGCCUUCAACACCUUGAAAAAAAAAGGGUAUUUAAGUGCUUUACUUCCUAUUUUCAACCUACUUGUUAUGGGGAGAAAAAGAACAAAUAUAGAUUUAUUUUAUGGACCAUGAGAACAAUAUGCACCUUCUAGACAAUGGUUAUCAAGUCCUGUUCCUUCAACAUGACAUCUUAUAUCUAAGCACAAUAUUUUAAGAAGGAUGAUCCUGAAAGGAGGAAGUAGAGAUACUGGAGAGUAUCCCCAAAGUGAGCAGAAAACAUUACCAACAUGAUGGAAUGCAAGCAAUAUGAUGAAAAUAAAGUAUGUUUAGUCAGAAGAAAAGUUGAUUAAGGAGGGAUACAAGAACAAUGUUCAGAUACUUGAAAGAAUAUCAAAAGAUGGGAGUGAAAAUUACUUUUUGUAAUCCUAUUAACUGGUUAUAUUUUUCAUUUUGUACCUCCUAAAAAAAGAUACUAAGACCUUUUUGUAUUAAAUGAUAACUUUAAGUUAUUAUGGAAUUCAGAGAGGUCCAGACUCAAUAGAAAUACAUUUAUAACAAAAAAGUAUGUUUUUUAAACUUUUUAAACAGCUUUAAAAUGUUUUAAUUCUCUCUAAAAAUAAAUAUUAGAGCUGCCAAGAUGAUCUUAGAUAAAAUGGUGUUGGGUUCUAUAGGAACCCUAAAAUACCUGAAUAGAAAGCAAUGUACAGUACACAAUGUUGUAUUUUUAACUGGUCAAGCCUGUUGAAAAUAAUAUAAGCAUUAAAACAAUGGUUUUGUACAAUAAAUUUUGAAUACUAUACUCCUCAAAA